rnacentral:lncRNA from 1 species
CACCAAGCGCAACAUGUGGUGUGCUACAUCGGAUUCCUCUCCUUAUAACACCAAAACGACGCUGUUUAGCAUCCACUAACCUAGGUAUAAAAACUUUUUUUUCACCCUUUCUCUCCAUUUUUUCCUUUCAUUUUCUCUUUCUAGCCGCCGGUUCUCCUUCCUCUCUCUAAGGUGCAGCUCUUUUCUCCCUCUCUCUAAACCAAGCCUUCGCCCUUCUUUCUUCCUUCUUCUCUACCUUCCGCCGGUGUCCUCUCUGUCGCUGAUCUCUUUCCUUUCGCCGACCACCCAAGUGCCUUCCCUUUCCUGGCACUUUUCGAAUCUCUCUCCUCUCCCUCUCCUUCCUUUCGCCAGCCACCCGAAAGCUUUUCCUUUCCCGACAGCACUAAGACCCAAGCUUUGACACCUCCACCGGCGACACAAAGCCCCCAAAAUCUGUUUCCUAACCGGCGGCAGCAACCCCUAAAGCUUUCCUAUCCGGCAGCAGCUAAAACCCCCAAAAAUUAAAAUCUACCCCAAAAAAAUAACUAAAAAUCCCCCAAAAACACAGCUACUCUCUUUCUCUCAUUGUGUAUUUUUUUUAUUUUUUUUGUAUUAUUUUGGUUGUGAAUUUGUAUUGCGGCUAGGUAGAAUGGUUGUUGGUUCUUGCUAGGGAUUUUAGGUUUUUUGAUUGUUUGGUUCUCCGCUCCUGUAGCUACUACUUGUAGCACUUUAUACCUGAUCACAAUUUCGGG